UAGUGGAUGGAAAUGAAAACACAAAAAUACGAAAUUUCUUGAUGCUUGUAAGAGUGUUCGUGGGAAAAUGAACACAUGCAUAAAAGUGGGAAAAUGAACACAUGCAUAAAAAUACGAAGAAAUUUUCAUGAGGCUAAACAUACUGUCAUAUUGAUCGUGAUAAAAAAAUGAACACAAGUUUAAGGGUGCUUAGCAAAAGAGUUUGUGUUAGCGAUCCGUAGUCAGGGAUCAACUAAACGGGGGCUUUUAAGAGGGUUUCUAAAAAUAUUGAAGCAUUUAAUUAAAUCAAAACUCAAAAAAAUUGUUGUUAUCGAUCCUUAAUAUAGGAUUUCUGUAACCGAUUACAAAGGGGGUUUUCAACCCACGUGUCAGCAAACUAAAUAAUGAGGCAUUUUUUUUUCUUCUUUCUCGUCUUCUCUUUCUGCAAACGACAAUGGCUUCUCGAUCUCUCUCCUUCUUCAAGUUUCAGAGGUUCUCUGUGGAGAUCAAUGGCCACUUUUACUCGAAAUUGAGUUUCUUUCUAUUUUUUUUUCAUUUCAUUGAUUUGAAAUUGGUUAAAGAGAUAUGGAUCAUGACUUUUCUCUGUUUUUCUUUUUGUAAUAGUUGUGUUAUUUGUUGCAGUAAACCACAAUUGGGCAUGUAGAUCACGGGAAGACUGCUUUGACUGCUGCAAUCACAAAGGUUCUUGCUGAAGAGAGAAAAGCUAAAGCUAUUGCCUUUGAUGAAAUUGAUAAAGCUCCCGAAGAGAAGAAGAGAGGAAAUACUAUUGCUACAUGGGAGCAUUGAGAGAUUCAUCACAGAGUGGAGCAUUGGGAGCAUCUCGUGGUAGUGGUCUGCAUUAUGGCAUACCACUCCCGCUUUGUUCUAUCUUGCUUUGGGAGGGUCCUUGUUAUCUUAUAUAUACUCUGCUCCACCUCUUAAGUUGGGAAUAGCGAUUGUUUAUAACUUCAAAAGUGUUGAAGGAGACAGAGCAAUGGGCCUUCAGUCUCUCCUAGUAGCUUUUGGCACUGAGGCUGCAAAAUGGAUAUGCGUUAGUGCUAUAGACGUUACUCAGAUCUCUGUUGCCGGUAUGUAGUAUGACUUCUAUUUCUUGUGCUUGAUCUUAUGAACUAGAGGAUCAUUAGUGAAUGUCUAUUCUGGUUGUAGUGUAUCUUGUAGUGAAAGUAUUGUUUUUAAAACUCUUCUCCAAACAAGUGUAAAACAAAUUCUCUCCUUCUCUAUAUAAAAUCAUCUACAUUCCUUCUUUA